rnacentral:rRNA from 1 species
GACGAACGCUGGCGGCGCGCUUAACACAUGCAAGUCGAACGGAAAGGCCUGCUUUCCCUUGUGGAUUGCGGGUACUCGAGUGGCGAACGGGUGAGUAACACGUGAGUGAUCUGCCCCCAACUUGGGUAUAAGCCUGGGAAACUGGGUCUAAUUCCCGAUAGGACUGCAGGGUGGUGCCUGUGGUGGAAAACGAUUUUCUAGUGGUUGGGGAUGAGCUCGCGGCCUAUCAGCUUGUUGGUGGGGUAAUGGCCUACCAAGGCGGCGACGGGUAGCCGGCCUGAGAGGGUGGACGGCCACAUUGGGACUGAGAUACGGCCCAGACUCCUACGGGAGGCAGCAGUGGGGAAUAUUGCACAAUGGGCGGAGGCCUGAUGCAGCGACGCCGCGUGGGGGAUGACGGCCUUCGGGUUGUAAACUCCUUUCGACCGCGAGGAAGCCACCUGGUUGGAAGGGUGGUGACGGUAGUGGUAGAAGAAGCACCGGCUAACUACGUG